rnacentral:rRNA from 1 species
UACAGAGGUCUCAAGCGUUGUUCGGAUUCAUUGGGCGUAAAGGGUGUGUAGGUGGCGCGCUAAGUCGGGUGUGAAAUUUCGGAGCUUAACUCCGAAACUGCAUUCGAUACUGGCGUGCUUGAGGACUGGAGAGGAGACUGGAAUUCAUGGUGUAGCAGUGAAAUGCGUAGAGAUCAUGAGGAAGACCAGUGGCGAAGGCGGGUCCCUGGACGAUACCUGACACUGAGGCACGAAAGCUAGGGGAGCAAACAGG